rnacentral:tRNA from 1 species
GGUAAAAUGGCUGAGGAUAAGCAUUGAACUGUAAAUUCAAAGACAGAGAGAGAUAAGAUCUCUUUUUGCCA